AAGCAUAUCCGACUCCGUUUGUCAAUAUUCCAUUCGUAAAGAUGAGUGGCGGAUGCAACGUAGACAGAAGAACCGUCAUCUGCGAAACAGGAGCCGAAUAUAUCCUGCGACGCAGGAGAAAAGAAGCGAUCUUCACUUGGAAGGACCAAUUCGACAUCUUUACCAGUGCGUAAGUCAAGGAGAUGCGAAUAACUGAAGCCUUCAGAAUAAAGCAAGAGGUCAAGAGGUCCGCCAUUCGGAGGGGUGAAAUGGCAGCUUCGAAUACUUCCGUUAGGGUCAGGCCUUGAUGAGGUUUUAGUGAGCAUUGGGGUCCUCAAAUAACGUACAUCAAAAACACUCAGGCUAGAAUCUUGACUAGCAACGGCAAACAACUCGUUACGCUGAGAAAUACUUGUACAAAAAGAGGAAUCGGUAGUAUCAGCGACAGUAGUAUGUCGUAAAUGAUAUUCACCGGAACGAUCGAUUUCGUAAAAGAAGACCUGAGGAGAAUCGCCAACACAAACCAUAAAACGGCCAUCAUUGCUGACAGAUGCAUGAUUCAUGUUGACUGGAAAGUGCAAUUGCUUGCGAAGGAGACCAUGCUCCAAAUCAACGACUUUUAUCGUGUGAUCAUUACUAGAUAUAAGUGCUUCAGCAUGAGAAUCACAGUUGCGUCGAUGAAUUUCAAUGCCAUUGUUAUGUUGGUCACAAAGCUUCAUGUGAGUUUGUUUUGAAGUUGGAGACCAGUAAUCAAAUUCACCAAGUUGGCCACCUGCAGCGAUGUAUCCGCAUUUUCCUAGCAAGCUCAGCGGUUUAAAACUGAGCCCUUGGCCCACCUGAACGACCUUCUCCGAAUUUGGGUAUAUUUUCCAAACAAAUACGCUGUUGGUAUAGUAGAUUGGAUUGGACUCUUCGCCGGUAUUUUGAGUAGAAAUGAGGUUUUUCAACUGCCAAUGAUUUGAACAAACACGAGCAGGAUGUUGUUUAGGAGUCACAUUCCUUAAACACAGGCUGGAGUUGGAGCACCUAUUGUCCACCGUCAUCCCGGUUUUGAAGCGUAAACGCGUAGACACGCUCACUUUGAAGAACAAGAGAAAUCAAAUAAACCAAAAAAAAAAAAACACUCCUUAAAGAAUGUUUUAUUUCCUUAUUAAAAUAGCCAAAUCAGACGAAACGUGUCUCAACUGUAAGGCCUUAUGCACACAAAAAGUAGAAUAAUUAGGUAAAUAUCAGA